ensembl:snoRNA small nucleolar RNA SNORA19
AGGCAUGAUCAAUUGGUCUUAUUAAGAGUGGGCACCUGCGUUAUUUCUCAUGUGCUAUACAAAUAGUUGAAGGUUAAUUAGCAGUAUAACUAAGUAGUAAUGCUGCCAGUCUCCUUCAGACAAAC